rnacentral:snRNA from 1 species
UAAGGUUAUUUGAUUUUUGGGACCAGAUGAGGUCGCGGGCUUGCUCGCACCUCAUCGCGGGUCGGCCCAGCGUUGCACUACUGCUGGGAUCGGCCCACCUCCG